rnacentral:rRNA from 1 species
CGCUGGCGGCAGGCCUAACACAUGCAAGUCGAACGCUCCGCAAGGAGAGUGGCAGACGGGUGAGUAACACGUGGGAAUCUUCCUAUCGGUACGGAAUAGCUCAGGGAAACUUGACGGUAAUACCGCAUACGCCCUUCGGGGGAAAGAUUCAUCGUCGAUAGAUGAGCCCGCGUCUGAUUAGCUAGUUGGUGGGGUAAUGGCCUACCAAGGCGACGAUCAGUAGCUGGUCUGAGAGGAUGACCAGCCACACUGGGGACUGAGACACGGCCCAGACUCCUACGGGAGGCAGCAGUGGGGAAUAUUGGACAAUGGGCGCAAGCCUGAUCCAGCCAUGCCGCGUGAGUGACGAAGGUCUUCGGAUUGUAAAGCUCUUUUGCCAGGGACGAUAAUGACGGUACCUGGAGAAUAAGCCCCGGCUAACUUCGUG